rnacentral:lncRNA from 1 species
AUGGGUCGUAACCCCCGUGACGUCCCUGGAUGCGCUCGUCCUCGGGAUAGGUGUCACCUAUAUGCGAAACAACUAUAAAAACGUUAAUUAAUGCACAUAACCAACAAUUCGAAAUAACUUCUUAUACGGUGCUCAAUUUGGGUAUAUGAAUAUACCACAUCGACCUACUCGACGUCACGGACGUCGAGAAAUUUUUAAAAAAAUUUUUUGAAGCGGCACGUGCCCCCACGCGCGUCUUCUUCCUCGAGCUCGCCAGACUGGUUUUUCUGGUGGCCGGAAUCUGGGAAAUUUUCAAACGCUUUGUUCUCCUUCGUUUCUCAACCAUUUUCUUCGUAUUUUAUAUCAAUUUGAAGCCUCAACAUGUAGAAUCACGAUAGACUAGUUUCAAGAUCUAAAAUCCACUAGAUUUUACCUGAGGAAGCUCGAUAAUCCGGCCAAAUUUGAAAAGCUCCGUUCUCAGUCCUCCGACGUCCAAAUUCUACCAACGAAGUACCCCGAAGCUCGUGAGGAUCUCCUUAAGCUCACUGUGAGCUUGAAAUUCCCUGAAAUGCAAGAUUUUACGUGUGCAUGAACAGUGCACAUUUUCGGGGUUAGGGUUUCACAACGAUUCUGAGGAUUUCUGAGGUUUUAAAAUCAAAUAUCACAUAUACGAACUCACAAGCUUACUAGGAGUUCAAAUCUUACCUUAGAACCUUCGAUCCGUGAAGAAAUGGGAGGUUCCUAGCUUGU